GAAAAAUUGCCAGCCUUCAACUAUGGGUAGAAUUCCCAGUGAAAAACACAAUAAUAUCAGUGGUUGCACUGAGAAGCACCGGGAUGAUGGAUUUCUUUUAUCAUGUGAUUAUUUUACAAUCAGAAGGCAGGCACCAAAGGCUGACCCUACAAGGUUAUUGGCAUGGCAAGAGGCUGGGAGAAAAAAUCUUGAGAUGACAUAUGUGAGGUCUGAGUUCGAAAAUGGGAGUGAGAGUGAUGAUCACACAAGAUCUGACCCAGGUGAUGAUGAUG
rnacentral:misc_RNA from 1 species